UACUAUUCAAUUCUGCACAACUUGACUGUAGUAUGACAUUGACUUUAAUCUCUUCUUCAAAUCAAUGUUUGAUUAAAUGCACAUAGAAGCUAAUAACCACACACACACACACAAUGCAAACAUACAAGGUUCUCAUGCUAAUGUUUCACACUUUCUUCUUCUGUAUCAUUCCAAUUUUAUCUAUACAAUAUGAAACUUUUUCCACUAUUACACCAAAUCAUUCUAUCCAAGGUAAUCAAACUUUAGUGUCUUCAGCUGGAACUUUUGAAGCUGGAUUCUUCAACUUUGCAAAUUCAAAACUCCAAUACUUUGGUAUAUGGUACAAAACAAUAUCACCUAAAGUCUAUGUUUGGAUUGCCAAUCGAGAUUCUCCAAUACAAAACUCAACACCAAUUCUAAAACUAACAUAUCAAGGUACUCUAACUAUUUUCGAUGAUUCUGGAACCAUUAUAUGGUCCUCCAAUGCAUCAACAAUUGCGGUGAAACCGGUCUUGUCGCUUUUAGAUUCAGGAAACCUUGUUGUGAAAGAUGGAGAGAGAAAUCUGUGGGAAAGUUUUGAUUACCCUGGUGACACUUUCCUUGCAGGAAUGAAACUCAAGACAAGUUUAGUAAAUGGUCCUUAUAUGUCUCUUACAUCUUGGAAAACUGUUGAAGAUCCUUCUUUAGGUGAGUUUUCUUAUCACAUAGAUUUUCAUGGAUUUCCUCAAUUAGUUACUACAAAGGGAGAAAAUUUAUAUAGUAGGGGAGGAGCAUGGAAUGGUUAUGCUUUUGGUGGAGUUUCAUGGCUAAGGAAUCUUAAGUUGUUCAAAUUUUCUCUAGUUUUCACUGAUAUGGAAGUUUCUUAUGAUUAUGAAACAUUGAAAAAAGAAACUAUUACUAGAUUAUGGCUUAGUCCAACAGGUUCUUCACAGAGAUUGGUAUGGUCAGAGAGGAGAAAAGAUUGGGAUACUAUAUCGACUCGUCCGAUGGAUGCGUGUGCAUAUUAUUCAAGUUGUGGUGCUAAUUCUAUCUGCAAUAUCACAAACUCUCCAAGAAUAUGUCAAUGCUUGGAAGGUUUUGUACCUAAGUAUUAUGAAAAGUGGAAUUCUUUGGAUUGGUCUGGUGGAUGUGUUAGAAGAAUAAGGUUAAAUUGUAUUGGUGAUGGAUUUCUAAAGCACUCAGGAGUAGAGUUGCCAGAUACCUCCUCUUCCUGGUUUAACAAUAGCUCGAGCCUCGAAGAAUGUGAGAAAAUAUGUUUGAAAAAUUGCUCCUGUACAGCAUAUGCAAGUUUAGAUAUUAAAAGCAACAGUGGCUGCUUGCUUUGGUUUGGUAAGAUAAGGGACUUGUCAAAACAUAUAGACCAAGGACAAGAUAUUUUCAUAAGACUUGCAGCUUCAGAGUUAGGUAUUUUCUCAGUCACCUUUUUGGCUUAAUUAGUUGAAGUAUAAAUAUGCAAUUUUCGAGAUUUAAUCCCUAAAAGAAUUUGUCAUUUUUAAUUCCUGAAACAUAUGAAAUAAUUUCUUUUGGCCAUUGCUGAUAUGGUUUUAGCUCCUCUAUAAUAUUUUAUGCAAAUAGAGUUAGUCCCUAUGCCUAUGCUAGGUGGUCGAUUAUUUUGUCACAGUCAGCUUCCUUUUCUUUCCUAAAUUGCAAACUUCUUGCUGCUUGUUUGUUCAUGGAGAAUACUUUUAUUGUUCCUCAGGUCAUAAGAGAAACAAUUGGAGCUUUAAAAACAAGAAGCUUGCAGGGGCACUAGGAGCCGGGGGAAUCAUUUUAUUCAUUAUGAUUCUUGGAGUGGCCACAUUUACAUAUAUAAAGAGAAAGAAGCUUGCAAAGCCAGGUGAAUCUAAAGUAAAAUUAUGAUUUUGUUCUAGUUUCAAUAGUAAAGUGUUUUUACAUUGUCAAUCUUCUGUAACCAUUGGAUCACCAAGAUUAUUUAACUUCAAUCAUAUUUAUGUUAAAAGUAACACAAAAGAAGGUUUGUUAUUGAUUGACAGUGUAAAAAGACUUACGCUGACCGUGCAUUGAAAUCAAUUUCAUUCGAAUAUUAGAAUGUAAAGAAGUUUCCUCCAAAUAUGCUUUUAGUUAUACUCAGUUGAUAUCUCCUACCAUUUUAGGGAUGCUAAAAAUAUUAUAUAGGAAGCACAAAAGAGACAAGGAAGAUGUGCAGUUAUCAACAAUAUUUGGUUUUUCAACCAUAUCUAAUGCCACAAAUCACUUUUCAGACGAUAACAAGAUAGGAAAAGGUGGUUUUGGACCGGUAUACAAGGUAAUAAAAUUCAUUCAAAUAAGCCUUGGUUAACAGCAUCGAUUAAGUUGUAUGACGAUCAAGGAACUUCUUUAUUUAUUUCAAAAUUUUCGGAAAAUUAUUGUCAGGGCGUAUUGGAAGAUGGACUAGAGAUUGCAGUCAAAAGGCUAUCAGAAACAUCAGAACAAGGAGAAGAACAGUUCAAAAAUGAAGUCAUGUUGAUGGCGAAGCUUCAGCAUCGCAAUCUUGUAAAACUUCUUGGUUGUUCAAUUUACCAAAAUGAAAAGCUCUUGAUCUAUGAAUUGAUGCCCAACAGAAGCUUGGAUUAUUUCAUUUUUGGUUUGAAACUUAACACUAUGCAAAUUAUGGUUUUUCAUUUUACUCUUUGUUAUUACUUAGUUACCACACUGACUUUAAAAGUGGAUUUUGUUAGAUUCAACGCGAAAGAAACAACUAGAUUUGAAAAAAAGAUUCCAAAUUAUUGAUGGGAUUGCUCGAGGUCUGCUCUAUCUUCAUCAAGACUCUAGAUUAAGAAUCAUCCAUAGAGACCUCAAAACAAGUAAUAUUCUUCUUGAUAAUGACAUGAAUCCAAGGAUAUCGGAUUUUGGUCUGGCUAGAACAUUUAAAGGAGAUCAAGAUGAGUCUAACACAAAUAGAUUGAUGGGAACAUAGUAAGUAAAUCUUUUGAGUUAUAUAGUUCCACUAUGUUGCAAUUCCAUUUUAAAAGGCAUGCUGAAUCAGCCGGUUNNNNNNNNNNNNNNNNNNNNNNNNNNNNNNNNNNNNNNNNNNNNNNNNNNNNNNNNNNNNNNNNNNNNNNNNNNNNNNNNNNNNNNNNNNNNNNNNNNNNNNNNNNNNNNNNNNNNNNNNNNNNNNNNNNNNNNNNNNUAUAUAGUUCCACUAUGUUGCAAUUCCAUUUUAAAAGGCAUGCUGAAUCAGCCGGUUAAAUCAGUUCAGCUAUGAACCGGCUUGUUCGACGGUUGAACCAGAUUGAAACCGGUUUGAUCUUCAGUCCGAUUUUUACAUUGAUUUUCUAACUACAUGGUUGUGCUGCAGUGGUUAUAUGCCACCUGAAUAUGCGGUGCAUGGAUGUUUUUCAAUCAAAUCUGAUGUUUUUAGCUUUGGCGUAAUUGUUCUCGAGAUAAUUAGUGGGAGAAGGAUUCGAAAUUUUUAUAACCCACAUCAUCAUCUUAAUCUUCUUGGUCAUGUAAGUUUAAAGUUUAUAUAUUUUAGGAUCAAUAUUUUUUUCUGCAAUCAUCUAAUAGGAAAUAUUUGUGACAUUGAUUUCAGGCAUGGAGACUAUGGAAUGAAGAAAAGGCACAAGAUCUCAUAGAUGAUAUAUUCCAUGGUGCAACUAUUCCAUGUGAAAUAUUGAAAUGUAUUCAUGUUGGUCUAUUAUGUGUUCAACAAAUACCAGAACAUAGACCAAACAUGUCAUCUGUGGUCUUAAUGUUGAAUGGUGAAAAACUGUUGCCUGAUCCUAGCCAACCUGGGUUCUAUACUGCAACAGCUCAUGAUCCAAUUCAGGUAGAAUCUUCUUCAAGAAGUUAUGGAGACUGUUCACAAAAUGAAGCUUCUAUGUCAUUGUUAGAGCCACGAUAGAAUAUCAUUGUGUAUUUUGUUAAUACUUGAUAGUGCUACUAGGAUUAAAAGGUGCAUUUGGAGAAACUUAUUUGAACUUAUCUUAUGACAGAAGUGAUUGUAUAAGUGUUUGUGAAAGCUUAUGAGAGCUUAUCAUAUUUUUAUCAAUGAUUGAUCAAAUACCUUUUAUGCAGUCACUAUUUGACUGGGAAUCUCUUCGAAUUGUUUCUACUUUGGCCUCUAUUAUCUGAAUACCGGUUCUUGUUUCUCCCCCUAGAUUCAGUAACCAAUACCUCUGACUGUGAAGGAGAGUUUUGAUACUUUCUUCUCAUCUCUUCAUUCAAAAUAUUGCUCGUAACAAGGUCCAUUGACAACACAUCGGCAACAGCAGAAUUAGACAAUGACAUUCUGAACGUUUUCCACAAGUCAGGCAAGGAACUCAGAAGAAAUAACCCUUGAAUUUCAUCAUCAAACUUAAUACCAAUGUACUUUGAUUGAAUUAAUUAAUGAAUUGAAUAACUUUCAUUCGUAAGUCUAUUUCUCUAUAGUUAUUACCUGUUUUCUUCGUAUGCAACUGCUCAAUAUUAUCCCAUAAUAAUUUUGCAUCUUUCUCUCCACUAAUGUGGUUCAAAACGUUGUCAUCAACCCAUCAACGAAUAAAAGUUUACUCAUUAUAAAUUAUGUCAUUUGGCUUUUCUGUAGCGAACACAGGAUGGUUAAAAUUCUUCGCAAAAAGAAGAUCCUCCAUCUUACCUUUCCAAAGGGCANNNNNNNNNNNNNNNNNNNNNNNNNNNNNNNNNNNNNNNNNNNNNNNNGGAUGCGAUGUUUUAAAUUUUAUCACUUGACAACAUAAAAGCCAAAAUCGAUAACUAUACCUUCGCUAUUAACUAGAAAUUAGAUACUAGUCAAAAUCAAUAAUUGUAUCACGCAUUUACGGCGUUGAAUCAUAAUCUAGAUGGUGAAGUGAAGGGCCCCUAUUAAAUGUAUCAACCUACACUGAACAACUUGAGUUGCCAUGCCAAUCCUUAAUUGCAAUUUCUACUAUUCAAUCCCGCACAACUUGACUGUAGUGGCAUUGACUUUGGAUCAAUCUCUUCUUCAAAUCAACAUUUGAUGAAAUGCACAUAGAAGCUAAUAACCACACAGUCACACACACACACACAAUGCAAACAUACAAGGUUCUCAUGCUAAUGCUUCAUACUUUCUUCUUCUGUAUCAUUCCAACUUCAUCUAUACAAUAUGAAACUUUUUCUGCCAUUACACCAGAUCAUUCUAUCCAAGGUAAUGAAACUUUAGUGUCUUCAUCUGGAACUUUUGAAGCUGGAUUCUUCAACUUUGCAAAUUCACAACUCCAAUACUUUGGUAUAUGGUACAAAACAAUAUCACCUAAAGUGUAUGUUUGGAUUGCCAAUAGAGAUUCUCCGAUACAAAACUCAACGCCAAUUCUAAAACUAACAUAUAAAGAUACUCUUACUAUUGUUGAUGAUUCUAGAACCAUUAUAUGGUCCUCCAAUGCAUCAACAGUUGCGGCAAAACCGGUCUUGUUGCUUCUAGAUUCAGGAAACCUUGUUGUGAAAGAUGGAGAGAGAAUUCUGUGGGAAAGUUUUGAUUACCCUGGUGACACUUUCCUUGCAGGAAUGAAACUCAAGACAAGUUUACUAAAUGGUCCUUAUAUGUCUCUUACAUCAUGGAAAAGUGUUGACGAUCCUUCUUUAGGUGAGUUUUCUUAUCACAUAGAUUUUCAUGGAUUUCCUCAAUUAGUUACAACAAAGGGAGGAAAUAUAUAUCAUAGGGGACCAGCUUUGAAUGGUAAUGCUUUUGGUGGAGUUUCAUGGCUAAGUAAUCUUAAGUUGUUGAAAUUUUCAUUAAUGUUAAAUGAUAAAGAAGUUUCUUAUGAAUAUGAAACUUUGAAAAAUGAAACUAUUACUAGAUUAUGGCUUAGUCCAUCAGGUUAUUCAGAGAGAUCGGUAUGGUCAGAGAGUAGAAAAAAUUGGGAUAUUAUAACGACUCGUCCGUUGGAUCAGUGUGCAUAUUAUUCAAGUUGCGGUGAUAAUUCUGUCUGCAAUAUUACAAACUCUCCAAGAAUAUGUCAAUGCUUGGAAGGUUUUGUAC
rnacentral:lncRNA from 1 species